rnacentral:rRNA from 1 species
CUACGGGAGGCAGCAGUCGAGAAUCAUUCGCAAUGGAGGGAACUCUGACGAUGCGACGCCGUGUGAACGAAGAAGGCCUUCGGGUUGUAAAGUUCUUUCGCUUGGGAACAAGAGAAGUUGGUGAAUAGUCAGCUGAUUUGAGUGUACCAGGUAAAGAAGCACCGGCUAACUCCGUGCCAGCAGCUGCGGUAAUACGGAGGGUGCAAGCAUUAAUCGGAUUUAUUGGGCGUAAAGGGCGCGUAGGCGGAAGGAUAAGUCAGUUGUGAAAUUCCGUAGCUCAACUACGGAGCAGCAAUUGAAACUAUUCAUCUGGAGGUUAGACGGAGAAAGCGGAAUUCCACGUGUAGCGGUGAAAUGCGUAGAUAUGUGGAAGAACACCGGUGGCGAAGGCGGCUUUCUAGUUUAAUCCUGACGCUGAGGCGCGAAAGCAAGGGGAGCAAACAGGAUUAGAUACCCCGGUAGUC